GGCCGUGUGGCGUAAUGGCAACGCGCUAGUUUCCGGAGCUAGAGACUGUGGGUUCGAGUCCCACCAUGGUCG
rnacentral:tRNA from 1 species